GGAGGAGAUUGGUCCAAUUUGACAUUGAGUACUGAGGAUUUCUUCAAUCUGAACGAGUCUCUUUUUCUCGGUUUCUCCAUUUUCUAAGGUUGUAUUUGACUACUUAAUGAUAUGGUUUUGGCUGAUGAGAAAAACUUGGCAAAGUUUAGAAAAUAUUUGAAUGUUGUGAUUUCCAUUGCAUUUCUCUCCAACCCCUGAAAGUGAAACUUAAGAUUUGAAGAUACUAUUUUGCUCGUAUUCUAUGGAGGAGGAAGCGGUCCGAGUUAUGCGGUUCUCGCAGCGGUACGUUCUACCGCCAGCAUCCUUCUAUUGUGCAGAUCACUCAUCCCCCGCGCCCUGAUAAGGCUCGCCAAUCGGGCUACAGGCCGAGCAGGCCUAUGUUGUUUACUGUGUACGUGUGAGUCGCGGUGGACAUAAGCGACCAGUUGCUAUAUUGUGUAUGGUAAACCCACAAACCAGUUCGUCACUCAAUUGGAAUUACAACGGAGCAAGCGCUGUUGCAGAGGAGUGCGCUGGCAGGAAACUAGGCGUCCUCACAGUUCUCAACUCUUACUAGGUUAAUGAGGAUUCAACAUACAAAUAUUAUGAGGUAAUCUUGGUUGAUGUUGCCCACAACCCAAGGAUAAGUUGGAUCUGCAAUCCGGUUCACAAGCACAGGGAGCUUCGCGGACUCACUUCUGCUGGAAAGAAGUGCAGAGGCUUGAAUGGCAAGGGACACUUGCACCACAAGGCACGGCCAUCGAGGAGGGCAAAUUGGAAGAAGAACAACACCGGAUCUCUUCCACGCUAUCGUUGAUUGUACUGACUUUUCUAGUUUAUAUUCGGUUUUAGGCAUUGAAAGAGAACCUGUCGAGUUUUGCUAUUGGUAAACUAGCUCUGAACUAUUUAUCCUACGAAUGCUUAAAUAAGUUGGUUUUUGCCCCUUCUAUAAGUUCCUUUUAUUUGUGCUUAGGCUAGCUCC
rnacentral:sRNA from 1 species